AUUGGACGCUGGCGGAAUGCUUUACACAUGCAAGUCGAACGGCAGCACGGACUUCGGUCUGGUGGCGAGUGGCGAACGGGUGAGUAAUGUAUCGGAACGUGCCCAGUCGUGGGGGAUAACGUAGUGAAAAUUACGCUAAUACCGCAUACGAUCUAUGGAUGAAAGCGGGGGAUCGCAAGACCUCGCGCGAUUGGAGCGGCCGAUAUCAGAUUAGGUAGUUGGUGGGGUAAGGGCCCACCAAGCCAACGAUCUGUAGCUGGUCUGAGAGGACGACCAGCCACACUGGAACUGAGACACGGUCCAGACUCCUACGGGAGGCAGCAGUGGGGAGUUUUGGACAAUGGACGCAAGUCUGAUCCAGCCAUUCCGCGUGCAGGAUGAAGGCCCUCGGGUUGUAAACUGCUUUUGUACGGAACGAAAAGGUCUCUCUUAAUACGGGGGGCUCAUGACGGUACCGUAAGAAUAAGCACCGGCUAACUACGUGCCAGCCGCCGCCGUAA
rnacentral:rRNA from 1 species